GAAUCUUCCGCAAUGGACGAAAGUCUGACGGAGCAACGCCGCGUGAGCGAUGAAGGCCUUCGGGUCGUAAAGCUCUGUUGUCAGGGAAGAACAAGUGCCGGAGUAACUGCCGGUACCUUGACGGUACCUGACCAGAAAGCCACGGCUAACUACGUGCCAGCAGCCGCGGUAAUACGUAGGUGGCAAGCGUUGUCCGGAAUUAUUGGGCGUAAAGCGCGCGCAGGCGGUUCCUUAAGUCUGAUGUGAAAGCCCCCGGCUCAACCGGGGAGGGUCAUUGGAAACUGGGGAACUUGAGUGCAGAAGAGGAGAGCGGAAUUCCACGUGUAGCGGUGAAAUGCGUAGAGAUGUGGAGGAACACCAGUGGCGAAGGCGGCUCUCUGGUCUGUAACUGACGCUGAGGCGCGAAAGCGUGGGGAGCGAACAG
rnacentral:rRNA from 1 species